rnacentral:rRNA from 1 species
UACGGAAGGCAGCAGUGGGGAAUAUUGCACAAUGGGCGAAAGCCUGAUGCAGCUAUGCCGCGUGUAUGAAGAAGGCCUUAGGGUUGUAAAGUACUUUCAUCGGGGAGGAAAAAACAAAACUAAUAAUUUUAUUUCUUGACGUUACCCGAAAAAGAAGCACCGGCUAACUCCGUGCCAGCAGCCGCGGUAAUACGGAGGGUGCUAGCGUUAAUCAGAAUUACUGGGCGUAAAGAGCACGUAGGUGGUUUUUUUAAGUCAGAUGUGAAAUCCCUGGGCUUAACCUAGGAACUGCAUUUUGAAACUGAAAUACUAGAGUAUCGUAGAGGGAGGUAGAAUUCUAGGUGUAGCGGUGAAAUGCGUAGAUAUCUGGAGGAGUACCUGUGGCGAAAGCGGCCUCCUAAACGAAUACUGACACUGAGGUGCGAAAGCGUGGGGAGCAAACAGGGAUUAGAUACC